CGGACGGGGUUGGUAACGCGUGAGAAUCUGGCUUCAGGUCUGGGACAACAGUUGGAAACGGCUGCUAAUACCGGAUGUGCCGAAAGGUAAAAGGCUUGCUGCCUGAAGAUGAGCUCGCGUCCGAUUAGUUAGUUGGUGUGGUAAGAGCGCACCAAGACGGCGAUCGGUAGCUGGUCUGAGAGGACGACCAGCCACACUGGAACUGAGACACGGUCCAGACUCCUACGGGAGGCAGCAGUGGGGAAUUUUCCGCAAUGGGCGAAAGCCUGACGGAGCAAUACCGCGUGAGGGAGGAAGGCUCUUGGGUUGUAAACCUCUUUUCUCAGGGAAUAAAAAAAUGAAGGUACCUGAGGAAUAAGCAUCGGCUAACUCCGUGCCAGCAGCCGCGGUAAUACGGAGGAUGCAAGCGUUAUCCGGAAUGAUUGGGCGUAAAGCGUCCGCAGGUGGUUAGUCAAGUCUGCUGUCAAAGAAUCUGGCUUAACUAGAUAAAGGCAGUGGAAACUGAAAGACUAGAGUAUGGUAGGGGUAGAGGGAAUUCCUGGUGUAGCGGUGAAAUGCGUAGAGAUCAGGAAGAACACCGGUGGCGAAAGCGCUCUGCUGGACCAAAACUGACCCUG
rnacentral:rRNA from 1 species